rnacentral:misc_RNA from 1 species
UUUCCGUAGGCGAACCUGCGGAAGGAUCAUUACUAAAAAAAAGAUAUAAAAUUUAUUUUUUAUAUCCAUAAAAACCCCAAAACCUUUUUUUGUGUGAACCUUUUUAUAGAGAGAGAGAAGGAGGGAGAGGAAGGGAAGUGGAGAGGAGAGGGGGAAGGACAAAAACCUAAACCCUAAAUCAAAACCAAAUCUUUUUUUUUCUCUCUCUCUCUUUCUAUAAAUUUUUUAUAAACCCCAUAACACAUAUUAGUAUUUAUUAUACUAAAUCAAGUCUAAAAGAGAAUAUUCUUUUAUAAAAAGAUGAUAUAAAAUAAAAAAAACAACUUUUAACAAUGGAUCUCUUGGUUCUC